rnacentral:rRNA from 1 species
AGAGUUUGAUCCUGGCUCAGGAAAAACAAGGGCGGCGUGCCUAAUACAUGCAAGUAGAACGCUGAAUAGAGGAGUUUGCUCUUCUUGGAUGAGUUGCGAACGGGUGAGUAACGCGUAGGUAACCUGCCUUGUAGCGGGGGAUAACUAUUGGAAACGAUAGCUAAUACCGCAUAACAAUGAACGACACAUGUCAUUUAUUUGAAAGGGGCAAUUGCUCCACUACAAGAUGGACCUGCGUUGUAUUAGCUAGUAGGUGAGGUAACGGCUCACCUAGGCGACGAUACAUAGCCGACCUGAGAGGGUGAUCGGCCACACUGGGACUGAGACACGGCCCAGACUCCUACGGGAGGCAGCAGUAGGGAAUCUUCGGCAAUGGGGGCAACCCUGACCGAGCAACGCCGCGUGAGUGAAGAAGGUUUUCGGAUCGUAAAGCUCUAUUGUAAGUCAAGAACGAGUGUGAGAGUGGAAAGUUCACACUGUGACGGUAGCUUACCAGAAAGGGACGGCUAACUACGUGCCAGCAGCCGCGGUAAUACGUAGGUCCCGAGCGUUGUCCGGAUUUAUUGGGCGUAAAGCGAGCGCAGGGGGUUUUGAUAAUUCUGAAGUUAAAGGCUGUGGGCUCAACCAUAGUUCGCUUUGGAAACUGUCAAACUUGAGGCAGAAGGGAGAGUGUAAUUCCAUGUGUAGCGGUGAAAUGCGUAGAUAUAUGGAGGAACACCGGUGGCGAGAGCGGCUCUCUGGUCUGUAACUGACGCUGAGGCUCGAGAGCGUGCGGAGCGACAGGAUUAGAUCCCUGUAUGCCACACCUAAACAAUGAGUGCUAAUGUAGAAUCAUUUUCGGGAUUCAGUGCGCGGUAACGCAUUG